ACGAACGCUGGCGGCAUGCCUAACACAUGCAAGUCGAACGAGACCUUCGGGUCUAGUGGCGCACGGGUGCGUAACGCGUGGGAACCUGCCCUUAGGUUCGGAAUAACUCCCCGAAAGGGGUGCUAAUACCGGAUAAUGUCCUCGGACCAAAGAUUUAUCGCCUUUGGAUGGGCCCGCGUUGGAUUAGCUAGUUGGUAGGGUAAAAGCCUACCAAGGCGACGAUCCAUAGCUGGUCUGAGAGGAUGAUCAGCCACACUGGGACUGAGACACGGCCCAGACUCCUACGGGAGGCAGCAGUGGGGAAUAUUGGACAAUGGGCGAAAGCCUGAUCCAGCAAUGCCGCGUGAGUGAUGAAGGCCUUAGGGUUGUAAAGCUCUUUUACCCGGGAUGAUAAUGACAGUACCGGGAGAAUAAGCUCCGGCUAACUCCGUG
rnacentral:rRNA from 1 species